AGGUUGCAAGGGGAGGUACAUAUUAUUUAGAUUAGAAGAACAGCGUGGUGGUGAAUUUCUGUCCUCCAGCGUGCACACAGUGAGAACAAGAACAAAGCAUUCUCCAGCUGCUAAAGGGCACUAGCAUUGUGUUUCUGCUUUAUUUCCCUCUGUGUUUCCCUGGCGACUGUGUCAGGCUGUUCCUGAAGAGUCACAGUGGAACGGCAGGCAGACAGAGCAGCCUGGUCAUCAACGGAGCAGACUUCAGUACCAAGGAUAUGGACAACGACAACUGCAUCUGCAAAUGUGCUCUCAUGCUCACCGGGGGUUGGUGGUUCGAUGCCUGUGGACCAUCGAACCUGAACGGGAUGUACUACAGUCAUGGUCAGAACAUGGGUAAACUGAAUGGGAUUAGAUGGCACUACUUCAAAGGGUCUAGUUACUCUCUCCGUGCUACCACCAUGAUGAUACGACCAGCAGACUUCUGAGAUGACCUUUUGGUGACUGUCGUUGUGUACAUUGUCCAUAGACAUAUUUGCAUCAUUAGCCAUGUUUCCAUCCAACUGUUUUUAUGCGAUAAAGUACUGUCCUGAUGCAUAAAAGAAAGUCACAACAGGUGUGACGGAAACUCAAAAUACAAGGUGGGAUAAUUGUUUGUACUUUGACUUAAAAAUUAGCAACAUCAUUUUGCUUUCUAUGAGGAACUUGGAUUCUGACUUUCUGGUGCUUACAUGUCCUCUUGAAAGACAUUGAUUGUUUGAGACAGUAUGCUUGAGCACCAGCUCUGCAAUGAAUCAAACUGUAGAAGUGGGUUACAUGAAGAGGAUAUGAACGUAAGACUUGGUGCUUUUGAAAGACUUUCAUUUGGCUCGCUCUCAUUUGUCUCCCUUUCAUUUGUCUCUCUUUUCAUUUAUCUCUCUUUUCAUUUGUCUCUUUUCAUUUGUCUCUUUUCAUUUGUCUCUUUUCAUUUGUCUCUUUUCAUUUGUCUCUUUCAUGUAUCUGUUGUGUAUUGUUCUUCUAUGGGUAAGGUAUUCCUGUUAACACGUUGUGAAUCAGUGUACUGCUCUCUUAGUCUGCACUGUGGGCAGAGAUGCCUGAUGGCCUAGACUGGAUACACUUCAGAACACUGUUAUGGAUAUUAUUUGCCUAUAUAGUGGAUUGCUGGUGUUUGUGUGUGUGUGGAGUGUACUGUGUUUUAAAACAUUAUGUUUAAGGCAAGGUGUCUAAGUGUCUCUCACCACACUGUAAUAUUUAAUGGAAUAGAGAUAAAUAAUUGAUGUCUUCACUUUCAUGUAAGUGUUCAGUAUUAAAAGCAUUGUUGCUCUUA